CCUUUAUGUGGUUAAUGUGGUUAAUGGCCUCUAGGUUUCUGGGCUUAUGUCCAAGUACCGGCCUCUAUGAGGUCACUUGUUCCUCAAAUGUAGCAUAGUGGGUUGAUAUCAAAGAACGGGCUGCUAUGAGGUCACUAGCUCAGCACAUACAACAUGCUGGGUUGGUAAUGGUCAAAGCACUGACACAGAGUUCCAGCUACAGCACUUCCAGGCUCCGGGCUGAAGCCAAGCGGGACUUUGUCGGGAUACUAGCUCGGUAUCUCCAUCUUCCUAGCAUGAUGUCUGGACACAGGCCUCAGGUGUCGGGCACAGCACCACAACCUUGCUGGGGCCAGUGAACAUCCAGCAAGUUCUAGAGUCUUUGACUGUGAAUGCUUUGGAUAAGCACAAGGACAGCAUUUAUGGAAGACGUCGUACUAUAGAGGUAGAAGGAAAGACCUUAAGGCAGGACCCUCGCUCCUGGGGCAGGGGGUUGGGGGGGAACAGCUGUGGCUUGGAAACCAGGAGCAUCAGAGAAGCUGGAUCCAUGGAGAAAUCCCCAGGGAACUGUGUCUAGGGCAGGCAUCAUCAGAAGCUGGGGGACUGCAUAUGGAAUAGGGUGUGGCUGGAGGAGAUUGCAAGUGGGAGUUGGCCUGUGCAUGUGGAAACAGCAGCGACUGAGCAGGAAAUCCUGGCAGACAGGCUCCAGUGAGAGAAAUCGCUAACUGCAAACCUAUAAACUCCUGUUUGCUUGGAAUAAGAGACUGGACUGGACUAUCCAGCAGUGACUAGGCCUGAAGAACCUUAGUCCUCUAUUAGGUUGCCACUUCUUCCACCCCACUCCCAA